GUUUUUAUAGUUGAAAUACAACAAUGGUUUUUCAUGCCAUAGGUCGUGGUUAGAGUCCAUGUAAAAAUG
rnacentral:tRNA from 1 species